UACGAAGGGGGCUAGCGUUGCUCGGAAUUACUGGGCGUAAAGCGCACGUAGGCGGCUUUCUAAGUCGGGGGUGAAAUCCUGGAGCUCAACUCCAGAACUGCCUUCGAUACUGGAAAGCUCGAGUCCGGGAGAGGUGAGUGGAACUGCGAGUGUAGAGGUGAAAUUCGUAGAUAUUCGCAAGAACACCAGUGGCGAAGGCGGCUCACUGGCCCGGUACUGACGCUGAGGCACGAAAGCCAGGGGAGCAAACGGG
rnacentral:rRNA from 1 species